UUUUCUUGUUAGUUUUUGAAGUACGGCCUGCCCACUGAUUAAAGGGCCGCGGUAUUUUGACCGUGCAAAGGUAGCAUAAUCAUUAGUUCUUUAAUUGUGAUCUGGUAUGAAUGGCUUGACGAGACAUGAGCUGUCUUCUUGAAUUUGGUUUUUGAGUUAAAAUUCUUAGAUGUUUUUAUGGGACGAGAAGACCCUAUAGAGUUUGACAUUGGUUUUUUGUUUGUUUUGUUGUUUUAUAUUGUUUUGUUGGGGUGAUGGGAGGAAUUUUCUUAACUCCUCUUUGUUGGUAUAUUAUUUGUUUUAUUUUGAUCCAUUUAUUUUGAUUGUGAGAUUAAAUUACCUUAGGGAUAACAGCGUUAUCUCCCUUGAGAGUUCUUAUUGGCAGGGGGGUUUGCGACCUCGAUGUUGGAUUAAGAUUAAUUUUUGGUGUAGGAGCUGAAUUGAUUGGGUCUGUUCGACCUUUAAAAUCUU
rnacentral:rRNA from 1 species